rnacentral:rRNA from 1 species
UACGUAGGGUGCGAGCGUUAAUCGGAAUUACUGGGCGUAAAGCGUGCGCAGGCGGUUAUUUAAGUCAGGUGUGAAAGCCCUGGGCUUAACCUAGGAAUUGCGCUUGAGACUGGAUAGCUUGGAGUGCGGCAGAGGGAGGUGGAAUUCCACGCGUAGCAGUGAAAUGCGUAGAGAUGUGGAGGAACACCGAUGGCGAAGGCAGCCUCCUGGGCCAGCACUGACGCUCAUGCACGAAAGCGUGGGGAGCAAACAGG